UCAAAAAUCUUCCAAAAUCGCGUGACGUCAUUUAGUGCUUUUGCCGGGACGUGCCGAGUGAGGUGGGCGCACACUCCGACUCGCUCAUCCCACCACGGCGUCGCCUUGCUUGCGGGCGUAACCCGUCCACACUGCUGGCUGUCGGGACGGACGCGGUAUCAACGUGUGCAGGAGCGAGGCGGAGAGGAAUUGUGACGUCAUCAGGAAGCAUUCGUCCAGCAGUGGCUCCAUCAAGGCCGUUGACUCGUCGUGAAGGAGCACACCGAGAUGACCUGCACGCCUGUGAUUCUAAAGUGUUACUGCAGCCUCGCAGCCCUUUGCUGCUCAAUGGUUAUGAUCAUUAUUUCUAAUGUUAAUGAAUACAUAGGUUUGAUGGAA